ACAACAGUGAUGCCCUUAGUAAUGGCGAAUGAAACGGGCGGAGCCCAGCACCGAACUGCCGACCCUGCGGUCGCGCGGAAUGUGGUGUUCGGGAUAGCUACCUUCGGUUGGAGCGGCCAGUCUAAGUUCACCUUGACUGGGGCCAUGGUCCGUAGAGGGUGAUAGGCCCGUAAGACGACCGCUCUGGCCGACCGGCUUAUCCCUAGAGUCGAGUUGCUUGGGAGUGCAGCUCAAAGUGCGUGGUAAACUCCACGUAAGGCUAAAUAUGACCCCGAGACCGAUAGCGAACAAGUACCGUGAGGGAAAGUUGAAAAGAACUUUGAAGAGAGAGUUCAACAGUACGUGAAACUGUGUAGUGGUAAACGGAGGGGUUCUCGAAGUUUGCGUCCGAGGCUCAGGUUGACGCGGCGGUGGCCCGCGGGUAUUCGGAUUUCAUAACCGUUGCCCGUGUGCCGGCCGUCGUGGCGGCUGCAUUUCUCGGGCGUUGCACGCGACGAACCGCUGUCUGUUCACUGUGGCCCGGGGUGAAGUUUUGUCGUUUCGGCGGCGGAGCCCCCGGUGCUUGGCUGAGCGGGCGGCGGGUAUUGGAGCAGCCUCGUAUAGCGAGUGCCCUUGCUGGCGCUGGCUGCAUCUCUGUCGCGAGUAGGUCGGCGGCCCCUCCGACCCGUCUUGAAACACGGACCAAGGAGUCUAACAUGUGUGCGAGUCAUUGGGUGUUCUAAGCCCAAAGGCGCAGCGAAAGCAAAGGCCCCUCGGGGCUGAGGGGUGAUGGCGUAUGCCUGCAGCCCCGUCGCUUCGCGUCAACCUCGCUUUGUGCGGAGCAGAAGGAGCACACCUGUUGGGACCCGAAAGAUGGUGAACUAUGCCUGGCCAGGUUGAAGCCAGGGGAAACCCUGGUGGAGGACCGUAGCGAUUCUGACGUGCAAAUCGAUCGUCGGAGCUGGGUAUAGGGGCGAAAGA
rnacentral:rRNA from 1 species